rnacentral:rRNA from 1 species
CCUACGGGAGGCUGCAGUGGGGAAUAUUGCACAAUGGGGGAAACCCUGAUGCAGCCAUGCCGCGUGUGUGAAGAAGGCCCUAGGGUUGUAAAGCACUUUCAGACGUGAGGAAAGGUUGGUAGUUAAUACCUGCCAGCUGUGACGUUACCUUCAGAAUAAGGACCGGCUAAUUCCGUGCCAGCAGCCGCGGUAAUACGGAAGGUCCAAGCGUUAAUCGGAAUUACUGGGCGUAAAGCGCGCGUAGGUGGUUUAUUAAGUUGGAUGUGAAAUCCCCGGGCUCAACCUGGGAACUGCAUCCAAAACUGAUUCACUAGAGUACGAUAGAGGGAGGUAGAAUUCACAGUGUAGCGGUGGAAUGCGUAGAUAUUGUGAAGAAUACCAAUGGCGAAGGCAGCCUCCUGGAUCUGUACUGACACUGAGGUGCGAAAGCGUGGGUAGCG